UUCCGGUUGAUCCUGCCGGAGGACAUUGCUAUUGGGAUUCGAUUUAGCCAUGCUAGUCGAACGAGUUCACACUCGUGGCGCAUAGCUCAGUAACACGUGGCCAAGCUACCCUUCAGUCGGCAAUACCCUCGGGAAACUGAGGCUAAUGGCCGAUAUGGAACAGUCGCUGGAAUGCACUGUUUUCUAAAGACACCGCUGAAGGAUGCGGCUGCGGCCGAUUAGGUAGACGGUGGGGUAACGGCCCACCGUGCCAGUAAUCGGUACGGGUGAUGAGAGUCAGAGCCCGGAGACGGAAUCUGAGACAAGAUUCCGGGCCCUACGGGGCGCAGCAGGCGCGAAACCUUUACACUGCACGGAAGUGCGAUAGGGGAAUCCCAAGUGCGAGGGCAUAUUAGCCCUCGCUUUUGUUGACUGUAAGGUGGUCAACGAAUAAGAGCUGGGCAAGACCGGUGCCAGCCGCCGCGGUAAUACCGGCAGCUCAAGUGAUGUCCCAUAUUAUUGGGCCUAAAGCGUCCGUAGCUGGCCAACCAAGUCCAUCGGGAAAUCCACCCGCCCAACGGGUGGGCGUCCGGUGGAAACUGGCUGGCUUGGAACCGGAAGGCUCAGAGAGUACGUCCGGGGUAGGAGUGAAAUCCCGUAAUCCCGGACGGACUACCGAUGGCGAAAGCACUCUGAGAAGACGGCUUCGACAGUGAGGGACGAAAGCUCGGGUCUCAAACCGGAUUAGAUACCCCGGUAGUC
rnacentral:rRNA from 1 species